UGAUCACAACAUAACUGAUCACAGCGUAACUGAUCACAGCGUAACUGAUCACACUUUGAUCACACCCGUCCUGAUCACACCAUAACUGAUCACACCAUAACUGAUCACACCAUAACUGAUCACACCGUAACUGAUCACAACAUAACUGAUCACAGCGUAACUGAUCACAACAUAACUGAUCACAGCGUAACUGAUCACAGCGUAACUGAUCACACCAUAACUGAUCACACCGUAACUGAUCACAACAUAACUGAUCACAGCGUAACUGAUCACAACAUAACUGAUCACAGCGUAACUGAUCAGCGUAACUGAUCACACCGUAACUGAUCACACCCGUCCUGAUCACACCAUAACUGAUCACACCAUAACUGAUCACAACAUAACUGAUCACACCGUAACUGAUCACAACAUAACUGAUCACAGCGUAACUGAUCACAGCAUAACUGAUCACAGCGUAACUGAUCACAGCGUAACUGAUCACAGCGUAACUGAUCACACCAUAACUGAUCACACCAUAACUGAUCACAACAUAACUGAUCACAACAUAACUGAUCACAGUGUAACUGAUCACAGCGUAACUGAUCACAGCGUAACUGAUCACAGCGUAACUGAUCACACCAUAACUGAUCACACCAUAACUGAUCACACCAUAACUGAUCACAGCGUAACUGAUCACAGCGUAACUGAUCACACCCGUAACUGAUCACACCGUAACUGAUCACACCGUAACUGAUCACAGCAUAACUGAUCACAACAUAACUGAUCACAGCGUAACUGAUCACACCGUAACUGAUCACACCGUAACUGAUCACACCUGUAACUGAUCACAGCGUAACUGAUCACACCCGUCCUGAUCACACCGUAACUGAUCACAGCGUAACUGAUCACAUCGUAACUGAUCACACCUGUAACUGAUCACAGCGUAACUGAUCACACCGUAACUGAUCACACCAUAACUGAUCACACUGUAACUGAUCACACUGUUGAUCACACCCGCCCUGAUCACACCAUAACUGAUCACACUGUAACUGAUCACACUAACUGAUCACACCCGCCCUGAUCACACCAUAACUGAUCACACUAACUGAUCACACUAACUGAUCACACCUGUAACUGAUCACAGCGUAACUGAUCACACCAUAACUUUUCACACCCGCCCUGAUCACACCAUAACUGAUCACACUAACUGAUCACACUGUAACUGAUCACACCUGUAACUGAUCACACUGUAACUGAUCACACCGUAACUGAUCACACCUGUAACUGGUGGUCCUUCUGUAGCUCAGUUGGUAGAGCAUGGCGCUUGUAACGCCAGGGUAGUGGGUUCGAUUCCCGGGACCACCCAUACGUAGAAUGUAUGCACACAUGACUGUAAGUCGCUUUGGAUAAAAGCGUCUGCUAAAUGGCAUAUAUUAUUAUAUAUAUUACUGAUCACAGCGUAACUGAUCACACCUGUAACUGAUCACAGCGUAACUGAUCACACCAUAACUGAUCACACCUGUAACUGAUCACAGCGUAACUGAUCACAGCGUAACUGAUCACAACAUAACUGAUCACACCGUAACUGAUCACAGCGUAACUGAUCACACCUGUAACUGAUCACACCUGUAACUGAUCACAGCGUAACUGAUCACACCUGUAACUGCUGCCGUGUGACUGGAAACAGCCAGAUAUGACUCUACAUGUUGUAGAUGAAGGUGUUGUUGUCUGGCUUUAUUCCCUCCAUACUCCACUACUGGUUUGACUCCCUAUUGGCACCUGCACUGAUUAUGCACUUAAUGUUCUGUUAUUUGAUAAAGGAAUGAAUCACUGUCCCCGUUACUCGAUUGAAGAUCUAAAUGAUGUUUGUUUUUAAAUCGUUGAAAGAGGGAAGUGUAGAAUACCGGACUGAGCAUAAUCUUCUAGGUUUUGUUAAACGCCAAAGGUAUUGUUCUCCUGAUAUUUGGGGGAAACAAAAAUAAAAAAAGAAUCAUUCUUGUGUCUACAUGGGCAGGGCUGACUAUUCCAGUGGCUGGUUCCAUGCACAGUGAUUGGCCAGGAUAACUAGGUCAGGUGUAACGAUUGGACACAUUAAUUACAAUAACUCCGCCCCCCCAAGAGUGGCACGUUUUGGAGGAGAUGAUGUCAGUGGACAACACCUUUAACACUAUCUGGCACCCUAUUUAGUAUGUAGUGCACUACUUUGGACCAGAGCACAUAAUGGGUCUGGUCUAAAGUAGUGCACUAUAUAGGGAACGGGGUUCCAUUUCCCUGGUCUAAAGUAGUGCACUAUAUAGGGAAUAGGGUGUCAUUUGCCCUGGUCUGAAGUAGUGCACUAUAUAGGGAAUAGGGUGCCAUUUGCCCUGGUCUAAAGUAGUGCACUAUAUAGGGAAUAGGGUGCCAUUUGCCCUGGUCUAAAGUAGUGCACUAUAUAGGGAAUAGGGUGCCAUUUGCCCUGGUCUAAAGUAGUGCACUAUAUAGGGAAUAGGGUGCCAUUUGCCCUGGUCUAAAGUAGUGCACUAUAAAUAGGGAAUAGGGUGCCAUUUGGGAUGCAGUGGUUUACUCUGCACAAACAAGUACUUACUGUCUUCUGCCUUCAACCCUGGCACCAAUAACACAUCGUGUGUCUAAACAUGACCUUAAACAAACCUCCUCUCUGGCUCUCUCCCUCUCUAUCUCUCUGGCUCUCUAUCUCUCUGGCUCUCUCCCUCUCUGGCUCUCUCCCUCUAUCUCUCUGGCUCUCUCCCUCUCUGGCUCUCUCCCUCUAUCUCUCUGGCUCUCUCCCUCUCUGGCUCUCUCUCUCUCCCUCUCUGGCUCUCUCUCUCUAUCUCUCUGGCUCUCUCCCUCUCUGGCUCUCUCCCUCUAUCUCUCUAGCUCUAUCUCUCUGGCUCUAUCUCUCUGGCUCUCUCCCUCUCUGGCUCUCUCUCUCUAUCUCUCUGGCUCUCUCCCUCUCUGGCUCUCUCUCUCUAUCUCUCUCGCUCUAUCUCUCUGGCUCUCUCCCUCUCUGGCUCUCUCUCUCUAUCUCUCUAGCUCUAUCUCUCUGGCUCUCUCCCUCUCUGGCUCUCUCUCUCUAUCUCUCUAGCUCUAUCUCUCUGGCUCUCUCCCUCUGGCUCUCUCUCUCUAUCUCUCUGGCUCUCUAUCUCUCUCUGGCUAUCUCUCUAGCUCUCUCCCUCUGUCUCUCCUGAUGUAUUUUAUAAAUAUAUAGAUACUGGUAUGUGUAUAUACUGUAUAUAUAUAGUAGUUUGUUGCUUUGUAAAUCAAUGUAGGUGGAAUGUACAACAUGUGAAGAUGUCCAUUUUAAUAAACAUGACUACAUGCUGACAUCA